UGAGCUUUGCCAAUAUCUCAUAAAGCCUGUGGCUGAGGCGCCACAUAAACAUUGAAUUAUGACAGAUCAUAUAAAAGAAUCUAUUUAAAAAAAAAAAAAAACUCUUAAAACCGCAGUACAGAAGGUUUUUGGGUAAAAAUCAAUUACUGAGCAAGUAAAUGAAAAGCAGUGUCAGUUGACCGCGUUUUAUCACAGAAAUGCAGAAGUGUCUGGCGGUUUGUAGGCAUAACUAAUGAGCAACUAACACAAUAAAUCGUUGAAAAGCAAACCAUUUAAGGAAUCAUCCGUAAAACUGGGAAACCUCGUUCAGAGAAGAGCUUACAAACAACUCAUCAAUAAUCCAACCGCAGAUGGCGACAACUUUGAGACUUAAAAGGAUUUAAAACCGACCCAGAGAUGGACUUUUCUGGGGACUCAGGGGAGGUUUCUGAUUCACACAAGGCCAUUCAGUCUAGAAGGGAUCAAUGAUACGAGAAUAAGCACAUGGACGACUCGUGCUUUCAGCUGCUCGGAGAACACAGGAUACAGAGAAAGGAAACAGUAGAGUGCUAAGAGGAAUAUACUGAAGCUGAGAGGUUGCUACUGAGCUCCCCAUCAUCUCGAAACUGGCAAAAAUCCAUCUCUGUGUGAAGAUGUUAACUUAUUUAUUUUUUCUGUGAGAAUAAUUUUGACAUUGACAUUCAUAUGGUCAGAUUACGUCAAACAUUAGGAAAUGUUUUCUUAAUUUUGCAGCUUGACAGAAAUGCUAAGUGAUCUUUAAUGACACUGAGAGCUUCAAUAAAUAUCCUUGGAUGAACUAAAUGCUGUAAAUAUGCAGAAAUGGCAGCGGAUAUUUAAUUGUGCACGGAAGCUUUCGAAUUCGCCAUCAACGACUAAUAUGCAGAACAAGCCAAUUGAGGCUUCAUUUUCUCAAUGCUGCAUUACUGAUGAGUGCUGCUUGUAAUAUUGAAGCUUUUUAAAUUUUCAUGACUGGUUUGUUUCAUAUUUAUGUGCAGUGUUUUGCUGUUAAAUUUUCAAAAAGCAAAGAGUGUAAUAUGAAUAAAUAGCCCAUGUCCAUGAUUAAUAAACAUAAACUCAGUGCAUCAGGUAGGAAUUUGUGGCUGAUUUGUAAUGUUUACCAAAGUACUUAGCUUCUCCAAGUGAUGAAACAUUAUAAUUUAUGAAGUUUCGAAAGUCUGCCUUGAAUAAGAUUGAGAAUGAUUUUAAAAAAGAAGCCUCUAAAAGCUAAGAAAAAAAAAAUAUUAAAUGAUUUGUUUUCACCUUGUUGUUGUAAUAACUUCAGAAGUGCACCUCGACUUAUUGUCUUUUAUGGUGCAUGCGUCAGUGCUUCCCUCACUCCUUCUGCUUCAAGUUGUUUUUUCAAUGGAAGACAUUAAAUUUUAAUUUUCACUUAAUGCUGCAGCUCUCUUAUGCAGCCUCCAGG
ensembl:lncRNA